ensembl:lncRNA
AGACAACAGGGUUUGAGUUCAGAAGGAUGAGCUGAAGAAACAGAGAACACUUGACAGAAAUGCACGUGGGUGUGCAUGUGGGCAUUAAAAAAACUGAACACAUUUCACUAAGGAGAAACGCAAAGUACAGCACUUGGGAGUAACUGAUUGAGCAAAAUACAAGACGGGGAAGGACUGACUGGGCAGCAGUGCCAUACAAGGGAUCAGAGGUCAGACACUGGACAUGCGUCAGCAACGCCGCCAGGUUGCAAGAAAAGCAAAUACCAUCCUGGAAAAGUGUCAAUAGGAAGGCUUUGUUCAGAUGGAGAACCAUGUCCAGUCUAAAGCAUCAAUUCCAGGAACACCAGGAACCAAGUGGAUAGAGCACAGAGGAAAGCCGGGAGAGCUCUCUGAGCCUGAGAAACAUUGGAACAACCCAGUCCUUCAUCUACAGCAACAGGAAGGAGUCUUUAGGCUUCCAGUCAACCAGAGUCUGCUCUCUGGAAUCUCUCUGGACUCCAAGAAAGAGAAGUUUAGAAUGUUCUGCACAUGAUCUACGGCUCCGGAACUCAGGCCCACGUGUUUGUGAAGGAACCGCUGCCCUUGCUGAUAUCCCACUGAAUGAAGCUAAAAAAAAGUGGUGGAGAUCACAUCAUCCUGUGUUCCUUCUCCUCUUCCUCUCCUUUGCAGUGCAGAGCACACUAUGUACCUGCACUCAGUCCAGCUGCAAGAACAGGUCAAGCGCCAGAUAUUUGUGAUCACAAAUUUAGCAUCCAGAGCUGAGCUGAUGAAAGACACGUGAGCAUGCUUUAUGCAUUUCAUGUCAAAUAGCUUGGGUUGUUUAAAAAUAACUUAGAGAGCUACUCACUUUGUGCUGAAACCAACAAGGAAACUUCACAUGAUCAGUUCUGCCAGUUUGGCUGAGGGAGCAGUAACACCUCAAGGUAGCACAACCUUUCUG